rnacentral:rRNA from 1 species
GACGAACGCUGGCGGCGUGCUUAACACAUGCAAGUCGAACGCUGAAGGCCUGGCUUUUGUUGGGUUGGAUGAGUGGCGAACGGGUGAGUAACACGUGAGUAACCUGCCUUCCUCUUUGGGAUAAUGCCCGGAAACGGGUGCUAAUACUGGAUAUUCACUGGCCUUCGCAUGGGGGUUGGUGGAAUGGUUUGUUUGGGUGGGGGAUGGGCUCGCGGCCUAUCAGCGUGUUGGUGGGGUGAUGGCCUACCAAGGCGUUGACGGGUAGCCGGCCGGAGAGGCUGACCGGUCACGUUGGGACGGGAAUACGGGCCAGAAAUCUACGGGAGGCAGCAGUGGGGAGUAUUGCAGCAGGGGAGAAAGCCUGAUGCGGCGACGACGCGUGAGGGAUGGAGGCCUUGGGGUUGUAAACCUCUUUCGCUCAUGGUCACGCCGUAACUGUGGGUGGUGGUGAGGGUAGUGGGUAAAGAAGCGCCGGCUAACUACGUG